GGAGAACAGGCCGGAAGGCGCCCAACGGGCCGCAGGCUCCGCGGCCCCCACCUUAUAGCCAGCUUUUUCCAAGAGCCACAUGCGGUGGGUGGGGUAAUGGAAUUCCGAAUUCCGCAGGGCCGAGAGGGUCCAAAUCCCGUCUCAGAUGGGAGUGCUCGGCGGAGCGGGGCUGGGCGAGGAGCGCAGAGGAGUCAGAGGUGAGUGAUGCUGGCGUACACCGGGCGGUCAGCCACCGCGCCCCGGUCUCCGGACCCACUGGGAGCGCGGACCCCUAUUUGAGCAGAAAAAGAAAGGGCGGCGCAGUCUGGGGGGCUGGGGAGAAAUGGAGGGAGCAAAGGGCCAGUCAGUCACAUUUUCAUAUACGGGCCUCCGUCACCAAGUACACAGAUUCUCCCACUGGUACUAAAGAUGCCCCAUUCACCUUACAGUUAGAGGGCCCAUAUAGUAUCCACCAGAACCCUAGGGUACUAUUAGGACAAAUAGGAUAAUAACCGCAUUAUAGCAAAAGGACUCAGAUCCCAACCCCCCUGGGACACUGCGCCCUAGGCGGGCUCACGCCCUCCUCCCCCGCCCAUUUCGAAGACUUGGGUUUUCCUCUGGGAUCCAGUCUGGCGCCCCUUGGGACUUCCUCCCUUUGCCAGGCUGCCCCGGCUCAAGCUUCUCUGGCCUGAGCCAUCCCUCAGUCCUAGCCCCACCUGCCUCCUCUGGCUCCUCCUUCCCCUCCUCGAGUCGCUCCAAGCCAGAAGAGGACUCACUUCUGCUCCUGGCAGCCAGGGGACACACCUGGCUGCUGACCUCAGGACACCCUGGGCUGGUCCAAGGAGACGCACCUCCCGGGGACACAGAAUCCCACCCCCAGUAGCCCUGACCGUCCAGCUCCCGCGCCUCCCAGCCCUACCGCAUCCCGCGUCUGCAGGGCGGGGCCGGGCCGUUGGGUCGCCCCUCCUACUCUCCACUCCUUUUCUCCCUCGGAAACCACCGAGCACAAAGGCAGCAUUGAUUCUCCGCCACCCUCAGAGCGGUCUCCGGAAGGCUCCGCCACCACGCGCUCGCCUCACCCCUGCGCGGAGCCACCAAGAGCACCGUGUUCCGACCCUCUGCCCUGGGAUCCGAGCUAGCGACCCUCUCCGUCGCGCGCCCGGAGUGCUGGCCUCACCUGUGGGUCGCUUUUGGGUUCUGGCCUCAGGCCCUGAAACUUUCAGAGCCAGAGGGGAGCAGCUUUCUCUGCAGCUUGCUCCCCCAGCGCAGUCCUUAUGGGAGGAGCUGGCAGGGGCCUCCGCUGCCUACGUCCUACCUCUUUUCCUGGAUAAACACAGCUCUGUCUGCGCGGCCAUCAGCCCGGUCUUCUGACUUCCUCCAGCUGAAGCCAGGCUAGUCAAGUGAAGCAAUGGGAGUGGAGAUGGAACAAAGAAAUCUGCAAUUGGUUGUGAUCAAUUAGUUGUAAACACUACUGCACUUGGACCAACCUCUUCCUUUUCCUGACUGCUUAGGAAGGAUGGAAUGUAUUUCCUUCCUUCUGGGAGUGUUUGAAUGAAGAUUAGACUCUCCUUGACCAUGAAUGAAGAGCAACCAGUUUUUUAGUAUACAGUGAUUUAGACUCUGGGUCUAGAGUGUAGAUAUCAUGGGCACUGUGAAAGCACAGAAGGAGAAAAGGUUUUUAUGUGAGUAUAUGGGAGAGGAAAUAGUUUAUUGUCAUAAGCUUUUUGGCUAUGGCCUCCAUUACAUCUCUAGCUUUUGGAAGGCACUAAAUUGAGGCCAUUCAAAUCCAUGUCCACCUAUCCUUUGCCCGUCACGAGACUGAUGGCUUAGGAAGCAUGUGGUCUAGGUACUAGAGAGGGAGCCUGACCCACCUACCUCACCGCUGCUGCUGAAUUUGUGCACAACUCUCUGACCUGGUUCCAUGUCACAAAGGGUUUCAUUCUCUCUGAUUCCCUGAAUCCCCAGCUCUAGCCGCAGAUCCUGGAACCCUAGCAUAUGCCUGAAGCUGAAUAUUUUACUUGCCAGAGUAAGAGUUUUUACAUAGACUCUGUCAUCUUCUACUGGCCCUCCUCUUAAACUGAGGCAGCGGCUGCUAGCUACUCACCAAACCUAUUUUACUUUCUUUUUCUUUUUUUUUUUUUUUUUUUGAGACAGAGUCUUGCUCUGUCGCCCAGACUGGAGUGCAGUGGUAUGAUCUCGGCUCACUGCAACCUCCGCCUCUCAGGUUCAAGCGAUUCUCCCACCGUAGCCUCCUGAGUCGAUGGGAUUACAGGUGUGUGCCACCACACCCAGCUAAUUUUUGUAUUUUUUGGUAGAGAUGGAGGUUUCACUAUGUUGGCCAGGCUAGUCUCUAACUCCUGACCUCAAAUGAUCCACCCACCUCAGCCUCCCAAAGUGCUGGGAUUACAGGCAUAAGCCACCGUGCCUGGCCCCCCAUUUUACUUUCUUCUUUAACAUAUAGUUAGAAUGAAAACAUGUUGAAGGGAUGAUGGCAUUAGAAAAUUACCACUGGCCACUAUCACAGUAAUAAUUGCUUUAGGCAAGAAUGAUCGAUAAAAGCUAAAAUUAAUGGGCAAAAGUAUGAUGAGAAACAGGAUAUUUAUACAAUCGCAAAGUGCCUCCCAAUAAGAUACUUAUUAAAAAGGUAAAAAUGGUAAUUUUCAGUGGAGAAAUAUGGCAGACACCAUAGUAACCAACUGAUCAAAGGGAACAUUGGCAUUAAUGGGACAAAUCAGCAUCACGUUUCUCUUGUCAUGAAGCACUGAGAAGGCCACAGCAUUGCUUCUGAAAUAUUGCAACAAAAAUGAAUAACUUGAAUCUAAUGAUGAGGAAACAUUGGAGAAAUCCAAACCUUGGAACACGCUACAAAACAACUAACUCGUACUCUGAGAAACAUAUCAGUGGACUGGAUUCCAAACAGUGGCUCAUGCCUGUAAUUUUAACACUUUGGGAGGCCAAGUUUGGUGGGGCUUUGUGUCUGAAUUCUGGCCAAUGGAACCACGUGGAGGCCUGGCCCAGAACAUCUCCCUGUGGAUUCUCUCAUCUGGCAACUGGAUGCCUACACGAAGGGUGAUUUUGGAGUCAUGUGUUGGAGAUCACAAAGCUUUUGUCAGCCAGGUUCCUGAAUGACUGCUAGACACCAUGGGCUGAACUUUAUGAGCUCCAGCACCACCUCCAGCCUUCAGUGACUGUCUGGAGCAGGCAUCCGGAUGGAAGAGAAGGGGGACAACCAUGAACUUGGUGACCCACGGUCAGCCUGAUUUCCCUUGUGGACACAUUUAUGCCCAGUGUGCAUUCCUCCUGAGGUCUGUUCCAAGUCUGGAGGCAGCAGAGUAGAGUGGAGAGAACAGUGGACUUGGAAUCUCACCUCCCAGAUUAGAGUCCUGGAUCUGACUUUGAUUGCUGGUGCUGCCUCGGGCAAGUUACUUUAGCUGUGUGCAUCUCCAUUUCCCCAUGGAUAGAACAUGGGUUUUGGGUAGAAGUGUCUGAUAGCUGUACUGUGCUUUACGGUUCAUGAGCACGCACACAUAGGCCCAUAAUAUCAUAUCUCUGGUCACCCUGGCAGGUAGAUAUUAUUGCCCCAGGUUUCAGGUAAGAAGACUAAAGACCAGGGGUCAAUUGCUUGCUCAGAGUCCCACAGCCAGCAGCAGCCAGGCAGGACACCAAGUCAGAGUCUAGAUUCCGGAUCUUGCCCUCUUCCAAGUGUACCACAUUCUUCUCAAAGUGGCCUCUCAGGUCUUUUGUCCAGAAAAUUUUGAGACUUUGAUGAGAAGCCCAUAUCUGCACACUGGGGAUUAGGCCAGAUAACCCUGUGUGUCCUUCCAGGCCUGGUAUUGUGAGGCUGAAGCCUAGUGCCCCACACUCCCUUCCUCACCCCUUAGAGAAAGAUAGAGACUCCAGGGCCAGCCUGGUGGGUGCUGAACCUGCCCUGCUGAGCCAAGCCCAGGAGGCAGCCAAGGUCCUACCAGUGACCUUACCCUGGGGGCCCCUCCAGGUAGGAGCCUGGUUGGAAAAGACAGACCGACUUCUUCUGGGUUGGCUGGAAAAAGAUGACAUACUCAAAGCCUUGUCCUUCCACUUGGAUGCACCUGGUGAAGAUGCGACAGUCACCUUUGUCUGGGGAGAGAUAGGCAGUGUUGCAGCCGGAGAAGGGAGGGUAUGGUCAGGAUGCAGCACCAUUUGGUUGAGUCUUGCCUCUGGUACAAGAUUAAGGAGAGAAAACCAGAGGACACCAGGUCCACCCCCAGGGAGCCUUCCCUCUGGGAGCAGAGGCACAGUUGCUGUCCUCACAGAGCCUUUCUGUCUAGGGCAGAAACAUGCAGGAAGUGCCCUGGCUGAGAAUGGAGAUAGGAUCAGGGCCAGGGCAAGACUUUAAGAGACCAUAAGCAUUGAAAAUUGAAAAUGUAAUUACUCAUGUAACUCACAUAUAAUUCAAAAGAAUAAUAGUAAACAGUAAAAUAAGAGCAGAAAAGUCCAUCAAAGUUCUGAUUUUUUUUUUCCAAGACAGCUACCACUACUACAUCCUUUUUUGGAAGUAUCAAAUUCUUUGAAAAAAAAUUAUGUUGGUAUUCCUGCUUUGUUUGUGCCAUAAACCCAAGGGUAGUCUGUCCCCUGUACCACUCCUUCAUCACUAGGCAGGAAGACAACAUAUAUGAGUGAGAGAGACAGGGAGAUACACAUGCGUGCACACACGAGUGCACACACACACACAAGAAGGUGGAAGCUCUAUCAUUAGGAUCCAUUAGGAUCAUUAGGUGUUUCAGGAGUGCUGCUCCAGACCCCGCACAGCAGGGAUGAUGUGCAGGGCCUCAGUGGAAGGGGUGUGGGGUCCAAGGGCUUUCAUGGGGUUGGGGCGGAAGGCUUGGGAUGAGGCUUGAUAGUUAGGGAGGGGCAGUCAGUGAGAAGUCGGGGCAGGAGCUGGGCUGGCUGUCCUCCAGUGGGGACAUGCUUGGCUGGGAGCGAAGGUGGGCCCACCAGGGUGUGCUGCUUCAGAUGGGAGGAGGGGAGCUGGAGACCUGAGAGGACACCCGCCGCCUGUUGCCUGGGGCUGCAGCAUCAGGGGUGGAGUUGGACAGCAGGAAGAACUCGCUGAGAACUGGAAGGCGGUCUGUGAAGUUGCUUCUCAGUCUUAGAACACAGGGAAGGGCGGCUGGGGUGUGUGUACUCAUGGUCCUGUCCUUACCUGAGGAAACUGCCAGUCCAGAUGGGAGCUUGAGUCCCCGGAUGUGGUCUCUGUUGGACUUGAAGGAGGGCAGCUUGAUCCAGCCGCUAGACUUAGUCUUCUCCAGAAAUUCUUGGUACAGGCUCAGCAUGUCCGAACACCAGCUGGCAUUGGGAAGAGCAUAAUCCUUCAAGUCUGUCUUCUCUGGCAAGAAUCUUGAGAACUGGGCAGGAAAAAUCAGAAUGACUAGACAGCAUCCUGGAGGGGGGCUGCUGCCUGGGCUCGGGACCUCUAAACAGCUGUUCCUGGGUGCUGGGGCUUCUCAAUCCCUUCUGCCAGAGUAUCGAUCCAAGGGAAAGGGCCCAUAUUCCUUGCAGGGGGGCUGCGGACCCCUAUGGGUGACGGGGCAUAAGGAUGCUAAAGAGCAAGGGAAGGGCGGGCAGGGAGUGGGGCCAGAGAUGAUGGGCAUGCUGCUCGAUGUGGUGCCUUACCCUUGUUCUGCUUAAAACAUGUGAGCAGUUCUUUAAAGUUGACAACUGCUCAUAUUAGCCUCACUGUACAGAUGGGGAAACUGAGGGAAUACGGCCAAGGUUGCCAAGCAUGUGACUGUGAGAGCUGGUGGUCGCACUAGAUGCUGUCUCCUCUGCAGGGCAGGGUCACAGUUGUUGAGGACCAUUCUAGCAACCCCCACCUCAGGGGCUACUCCAGCUCUGCCCACUGCUGUGGGCCUGCCUGGGCAGGGUGGCUCCUUUGAAACACAUUUGGGCCCCCACAGAGGUGUGGUGCCAUGGCUGGGGCACAGACUAUGUGCCCAUCUGUGUGACGUAAGGAAGUCCUCUGUAGCGUCACCUGCUCAUACACCAGUCACAACUGUAGACAGCAUGUGAGCUGCUUGCCAAUGCCACAGAUGGGGUCCUCUGUCUGGGGAUACCCCAGCUUUGCUGCAGUAGUCUGAGUCCCACAGGAGGAAAGUCAUUUGUUGGUGGCCACACAAGACACAGAGCCAGAUGCAGGUCUCCUGGUAGUUUUAGUUUUGAAUGGGGGCAACUUGGUAUCCCAGAGCACUUUCUCUUUGCCAAAUCAAAUAGCUCCUCCGAACACUGCCCACCUGCCCUGGCCAUGGGCUGGGAAGAGGAGAUUUGGGGUGCUCCUUAAGCCCUAGGCUCCUGGGAAAACACUGCCCAUCUGGCUGAGCUGGGAACUCACCAUGGAGUCUGUGGAGGAUCCAAAUGCUGAGGCAGGGUUGAGUCUGGGCAGGAUACGGGGGGCCUCAAGAAGGCCUCUGUGGUGGCCAAGUCUUGCUGCCACCUGGAAGCAUCUCCUUAUCAUGGCCAAGUGCAAGGAUCCAGCCCUGCUUGGAUGGAGGGUCUUGGCUGACUCCCAAGGAGUGCUUUCAGCUGCACUUGGGGCCGCUUCUCUCCCUUCUGUUGCAGGCUUUCUUUCAGAGAGCUAGGCGAGGCUGGGCUGGUGUGCUGCAACACCCACAGAUGCUCGGCGCCUUUAGCUGGUCUAGGAGCCCCACCCAGUGCUUGGGGAGGGACAGAUGCUGCUUGGGCAUGAAAAGGCAGCAGGACUGGCUUGAGUUGCAAAAGGAGUAAACAAGUACAUAAACAAAUAGUAUGGGGUAUAUAGAGCCUUGGAGAGCUGCCUGGGGGUUCUGAGGGAGAAUCCAAGAAUAUUUCCAGAAGGAUAAGGGAAGCCUGUCCCUUGAUUGGAGGGUGCUGGUGGAGUGUUCUUGGUAUGUGCUCUGCAGUGUAUACCGGACUCUGAAAACUCUGGUAUGAUUUUGUGACUCAGAAAACCAACUCACAGGCCGGGUGCGGUGGCUCACGCCUGUAAUCCCAGCACUUUGGGAGGCCGAGGCGGCGGAUUACGAGGUUAGGAGAUCGAGACCAUCCUGGCUAACACGGUGAAACCCCGUCUCUACUAAAAAAAAUACAAAAAAUUAGCCGGGCGUGGUGGCGGGUGCCGGUAGUCCCAGCUACGCAGGGGGCUGAGGCAGGAGAAUGGCGUGAACCUGGGAGGUGGAGCUUGCAGUGAGCUGAGAUCUAGCCACCGCACUCCAGCCUGGGCGACUGAGCGAGACUCCGUCUCAAAAAAAUAAAAAUAAAAAAAUAAAAAAAAAGAAAACCAACUCACAGCCUUAGACACCUCUUUUUUUUUUUUUUUUUUUUUUUUGGUGAGACGGAGUUUCAAUCUUGUCGCCCAGGCUGGUGUGCAAUGGCGUGAUCUCGGCUCACUGCAACCUCCGCCUCCUGGGUUCAAGUGAUUCUCCUGCCUCAGCCUCCUGAGUAGCUGGGAUUACAGACACACACCACCACACCCAGCUAAAUUUUGUAUAUUUUUUUUAGUAGAGAUGGGGUUUUGCCAUGUUAGCCAGGCUGGUCUUGAACUCCUGACCUCAGGUGACCUCCCAAAGUGCUGGGAUUACAGGCGUGAGCCACCGCACCCGGCCAACACCUCUUCUUAUAUCCCGGACAAGGGUUAGCACAGGAGAGUUUCACCUGCUGGUCUCUGGCUGGGGAUAGGAGUUGGAGGUGGGGGAGGGCUUGACAGGGAGGGCAGAAAAUAAUUUGGGAGGAAACAGCUUGGCAGGGAUACUCUCAUGUUUUGGGAACCCCGUGCCCAGGGAGUGGCUCAUGUCAGCAGGCAGUGCUGGGAGUGAGGUGGGCGCGGCAGUGAGGCUUUGUUGAGUGGGAAGGGACACUCAGCCAACAUCUGCAAGGCAGUGGGAUUUGGUGGUGGUGUGUCUUCUAUUGAAUUUAAACUGCCAAUUUUCAAUUAAAAGUCUCAGUUUUAAAUUGACUAAAAUAAAAGCAUGUUCUAAAGAUCAGUCCUCGCGCAGUGGCUCAAGGCUGUAAUCUCAGCAUUUUGGGAGGCCGAGUGAGACCUUGUCUUAAAAAAAAAAAAAUCAGAACUGUGCAAAGGUGGAAUCAUAACAGUGAUGAUGACGAUAAUAAUAGUUGUGAUGAUUAUGACAUUUUGGCAGGUUCCAAAAGAUGAAACUGAUUUAAUGCGGAAAUUUAAAAGAUUUGGUUCACCCUCUGUAUUUGGUUGCCCUAGAAGAAGACUAGAAUAUAAAUAUUUCCCCUCACCUCCUGCAAAGGUUUGAAUUAAACUUCCUCAAGGACUGGGGGAACCAUUUUUUUUUGUUGUUGUUAUUUUGUCAGAGUCUCACUCUUAUUGCCCAGGAGUGCAGUGGCACCAUCUCGGCUCACUGCAACCUCUGCCUCCCAGGCUCAAGCAAUUCUCCUGCCUCAGCCUCCCAAGUAGCUGGGAUUACAGGCGCUUGCUACUACGCCCGGCUAGUUUUUAUAUUUUUAGUAGAGACGGGGUUUCAUCAUGUUGGCCAGGCUGGUCUCAAACUCCUGGCCUUGGCUGAUCUGCCUGCCUCAGCGUCCCAAAGUGCUGGGAUUACAGGCAUGAGGCACCACGCCCAGCUGGAAGUUUUUUUGGUUGAUUCAGCCUCUGGGUCUAAGCAAAGAUAUUUGAGUUGGUUGCCAUCCCCAGAUAAGUGAGAAUAUCUGGCAGCACUCAUUUUCAGCCCUGGGCCGCAGCCGUUGCUGUGAGGCAGAAAUUAAAAAAAGAUAGUAAGUACUACAUUCAUUCACUCCAAGAAAAGUAACAGACAAGGCUAUAAGAAGGUCAUAGUGACCUAGUCUGAGAAGUAAAAGCCAAGGCCCAGAAUGUGGCAAGGCAAAGGUUAAAAAGAAAGGAAGAGCAAGUUUUUCUCUGCCUAGCAAGCUCACUUCAAAGACAAUUAUAAGAUAAUGCUCUUCGAGAAGUCGAAACCAAAGGAAUAGGCUCCAGACAUCCCCCGUCUGGAGCAAGGGUGAAGGAAAAAAAAAAAAGGACAAAUGUCUGUCUGUAUUUAGCCAGUUCUUGUUUUUUCUUUCCACGCAGCUACAAGGCCACCAGCUAUGCAAAGCCACAAGUUAUGCCAAGUCAUCAGUUAUGCUAUAGAUUAUGUGACCUGUCAUUAUAUGAUUAACUGCCUGUUUUGCUUCUGUAAGCCUGCUUAUAAAAAUCCUGCUCAGUCUUUGUUCAAUGCUCAGCUUUUUGGAUGUGAAUCCACUGAGCCAAUGCCUACCUUAAAAUAAACAUCGUCCUGUUUUUCCAUAUCUGUC
rnacentral:lncRNA from 10 species